GGAAAAUCCGUCGACUUUAUAAGNUGNGAGGGUUCAAGUCCCUCUAUCCCC
rnacentral:tRNA from 1 species